rnacentral:rRNA from 1 species
GUGAAUCAUCGAGUCUUUGAACGCACAUUGCGCCCUUUGGUAUUCCGAAGGGCAUGCCUGUUUGAGUGUCUUUAAUAUCUAUCAACCAUUUUGUGUGCUUGCAUGCAGCUUGGCUUGGAUGUGAGGGUUAUUGCUGGCUUUCGUGGUCUGCUCCCUUCAAAUGCAUUAGUGGAAUCUUCCUGCAGCCGGUCUUUCCGUGUGAUAUACCUUUACGUCGGUCUGUACUUGUGGGGUAGGCCUGCUCAUAACCGUCCGAAAGGACAAUUUUCUUAAGACAUUGACCUCAAAUUCAGGUAGGACUACCCGCUGAACUUAAGCAUAUCAAUAAGGCGAGG